rnacentral:tRNA from 3 species
UCCUCGUUAGUAUAGUGGACAGUAUCUCCGCCUGUCACGCGGAAGACCGGGGUUCGAUUCCCCGAUGGGGAG